rnacentral:rRNA from 1 species
UGUGUGUUCCAGGUAAAUCCGGUUCACUUUAACACUGAGGCGUGAUGACGAGGCACUACGGUGCUGAAGCAACAAAUGCCCUGCUUCCAGGAAAAGCCUCUAAGCAUCAGGUAACAUCAAAUCGUACCCCAAACCGACACAGGUGGUCAGGUAGAGAAUACCAAGGCGCUUGAGAGAACUCGGGUGAAGGAACUAGGCAAAAUGGUGCCGUAACUUCGGGAGAAGGCACGCUGACAUGUAGGUGAAGUGAUUUACUCAUGGAGCUGAAGUCAGUCGAAGAUACCAGCUGGCUGCAACUGUUUAUUAAAAACACAGCACUGUGCAAACACGAAAGUGGACGUAUACGGUGUGACGCCUGCCCGGUGCCGGAAGGUUAAUUGAUGGGGUCAGCGCAAGCGAAGCUCCUGAUCGAAGCCCCGGUAAACGGCGGCCGUAACUAUAACGGUCCUAAGGUAGCGAAAUUCCUUGUCGGGUAAGUUCCGACCUGCACGAAUGGCGUAAUGAUGGCCAGGCUGUCUCCACCCGAGACUCAGUGAAAUUGAACUCGCUGUGAAGAUGCAGUGUACCCGCGGCAAGACGGAAAGACCCCGUGAACCUUUACUAUAGCUUGACACUGAACAUUGAGCCUUGAUGUGUAGGAUAGGUGGGAGGCUUUGAAGCGUGGACGCCAGUCUGCGUGGAGCCGACCUUGAAAUACCACCCUUUAAUGUUUGAUGUUCUAACGUGGACCCGUGAUCCGGGUUGCGGACAGUGUCUGGUGGGUAGUUUGACUGGGGCGGUCUCCUCCUAAAGAGUAACGGAGGAGCACGAAGGUUGGCUAAUCCUGGUCGGACAUCAGGAGGUUAGUGCAAUGGCAUAAGCCAGCUUGACUGCGAGCGUGACGGCGCGAGCAGGUGCGAAAGCAGGUCAUAGUGAUCCGGUGGUUCUGAAUGGAAGGGCCAUCGCUCAACGGAUAAAAGGUACUCCGGGGAUAACAGGCUGAUACCGCCCAAGAGUUCAUAUCGACGGCGGUGUUUGGCACCUCGAUGUCGGCUCAUCACAUCCUGGGGCUGAAGUAGGUCCCAAGGGUAUGGCUGUUCGCCAUUUAAAGUGGUACGCGAGCUGGGUUUAGAACGUCGUGAGACAGUUCGGUCCCUAUCUGCCGUGGGCGCUGGAGAACUGAGGGGGGCUGCUCCUAGUACGAGAGGACCGGAGUGGACGCAUCACUGGUGUUCGGGUUGUCAUGCCAAUGGCACUGCCCGGUAGCUAAAUGCGGAAGAGAUAAGUGCUGAAAGCAUCUAAGCACGAAACUUGCCCCGAGAUGAGUUCUCCCUGAGACUUAGAGUCUCCUGAAGGAACGUUGAAGACGACGACGUUGAUAGGCCGGGUGUGUAAGCGCAGCGAUGCGUUGAGCUAACCGGUACUAAUGAACCGUGAGGCUUAACCUUACA